CCUACGGGUGGCUGCAGUAGGGAAUAUUGGACAAUGGGCGCAAGCCUGAUCCAGCCAUGCCGCGUGAGUGAAGAAGGCCCUCGGGUUGUAAAGCUCUUUUGUCCGGAAAGAAAAGCAUUCGGUUAAUACCCGAGUGUUCUGACGGUACCGGAAGAAUAAGCACCGGCUAACUUCGUGCCAGCAGCCGCGGUAAUACGAAGGGUGCAAGCGUUACUCGGAGUGACUGGGCGUAAAGCGUGCGUAGGUGGGUGAAAGCCCUGGGCUCAACCUGGGAAUGGCAUUGGAUACUGGAUAGCUAGAGUGCGGUAGAGGGUAGUGGAAUUCCCGGUGUAGCAGUGAAAUGCGUAGAGAUCGGGAGGAACAUCCGUGGCGAAGGCGACUACCUGGACCAGCACUGACACUGAGGCACGAAAGCGUGGGGAGCAAACAGGAUUAGAUACCCUAGUAGUC
rnacentral:rRNA from 1 species